rnacentral:rRNA from 1 species
AUUGAACGCUGGCGGCAUGCUUUACACAUGCAAGUCGAACGGUAACAGGCCGCUAGGUGCUGACGAGUGGCGAACGGGUGAGUAAUGCAUCGGAACGUGCCCAGUCGUGGGGGGUAACUAGUCGAAAGAGUAGCUAAUACCGCAUACGAUCUAUGGGGGAGAGCGGGGGACCGUAAGGGCUCGCGCGAUUGGAGCGGCCGAUGUCAGAUUAGGUAGUUGGUGGGGUAAAGGCUCACCAAGACAACGAUCUGUAGCUGGUCUGAGAGGACAACCAGCCACACUGGAACUGAGACACGGCCCAGACUCCUACGGGAGGCAGCAGUGGGGAAUUUUGGACAAUGGGCGCAAGCCUGAUCCAGCAAUGCCGCGUGCAGGAAGAAGGCCUUCGGGUUGUAAACUGCUUUUGUACGGAACGAAACGGCUCUGGUUAAUACCCGGGGCUAAUGACGGUACCGUAAGAAUAAGCACCGGCUAACUACGUG